rnacentral:rRNA from 1 species
UGGGGAAUAUUGCGCUAAUGCGCGAAAGCGUGACGCAGCGACGCCGCGUGGGGGAUGAAGGCCCUCGGGUCGUAAACCCCUUUCGCCAGGGACGAAGGGAGACUGACGGUACCUGGAGAAGAAGUCCCGGCUAACUACGUGCCAGCAGCCGCGGUAACACGUAGGGGACGAGCGUUGUCCGGAUUCAUUGGGCGUAAAGCGCGCGUAGGCGGCCCAGAAAGUCGGUUGUGAAAGCCUGGGGCUCAACCCCGGGACUGCAUCCGAUACUCCUGGGCUGGAGGUAGGUAGGGGAGAUCGGAAUUCCUGGUGUAGCGGUGAAAUGCGCAGAUAUCAGAGGAACACCGGUGGCGAAGGCGGAUCUCUGGGCCUUACCUGACGCUGAGGCGCGAAAGCUAGGGGAGCGAACAGGAUUAGAUACCCUGGUAGUCCUAGCCGUAAACGUGGGUGCUAGGUGUGGGCGGACAUCGACCCCGUCC